UAAAAUAAAAAAUUGCAGCGCGUUGAAUAACCCUUUGCUGCGAGAAAUUCAGAUCUAGAAUCCCUUAAUUCUUCUCUCACGAUCUCUCACUCUAAUUCUCUCCCCCAUUCCAUAAUCUUCCAAGAUCUAAAUUUUGUUCAAUUCUACACUUUGAUUAGUAAUCGUUCAAGGCCGACUUUUGAUCAAGAUUUUGGUGGAGGAAUACAUCAUAGAGAUUGUCGACCAGAGAAUUGAAAUCGAAAAAUCAAAUCUGAGAAGUUGGAUAACAAAUAGUUGUUUCAUUUCUCAAAACUGGAAGAUAGAAGUUCUCGGCCGACGAGGUGACUGAUUUUCUUCAACCUACUCCGAACUAUCUACUUGAUUUCCCUGAACGCUAAUCACUGGAGAACGACAAGUAUGAGGAAGAAGAAGUGUGGACAUCAACAAGAUCUUCGAGGGCGAGUUUCUUGAUGUUUACGGUGUCGCCGCUAUCAAAGAUCCUAACUCCCAGUAUAUUUGCUGGGUACAACAAAACACUGAGGGUGUUUGAUGUACAUCGCCGUGGCGGAGAUUUUAAACAACAUUCAACUCUUCAAGGAUCCAAAGAAAGGGCAGUCUGGUUUCAUGAGCUGAAGGCUACACAGUUCCUCCUGAUUUCAUCCUGCUUACUCUACCAAGCUUUCCCAUGGCAGUGCUGGAAGCUGAGUUAAAGUUGCCUACAGAUUCAUAUACCGCCAACCUUGUAAUAAACGAGGGAGAGUCUGUGUAUGAUUAUUGUUGGUACCCUUACAUGUCUGCUUCAGUUCUUUCGGCAGUGUCUGGAGUUCGUCUAAAAUUCACGGGACUUCAUGAAAAUUAUGUCGUUGUGGUUUCCUGCAUCAUUUUGGUAGUCCUGUUUUCUCUCCAACAUCAUGGAACACAUAGGGUUUCUUUCAUGUUUGGACCAAUUGUUUUAGCAUGGCUCCUUUGAAUCAGCAGCAUCAGUGUUUAUAAUGUUAUAAGGUGGUCAUUUUGUGUUUAUUGAUUAAGUCAAGUACUGAAUAUUGUUCAUCUGAUUGUUUUAAUUAGGAUAGAAAUGUUGAUGUAAUAUGUAGAUUGAUUGAAUAUCAAUUGUUGGUUUGGCUUAGAAUGUGAUGGUGGUUUGGUGUUUAUUGCUAUAAUCAAGUGGUAGAUGGUGGGUGUAUUGCA